rnacentral:rRNA from 1 species
ACUCAAAUGAAUUGACGGGGGCCCGCACAAGCGGUGGAACAUGUGGUUCAAUUCGACGCAACGCGAAGAACCUUACCUGGGCUUGAACCGCACCGGACAAUCCGUGGAAACAUGGACUUCUCGCAAGAGACCGGUGUAGAGGUGCUGCAUGGCUGUCGUCAGCUCGUGCCGUGAGGUGUUGGGUUAAGUCCCGCAACGAGCGCAACCCUUACACUUAGUUGCUACCCGCAAGGGAGAACUCUAAGUGGACUGCUCCGGAUAACGGAGAGGAAGGUGGGGAUGACGUCAAGUCAGCAUGGCCUUUAUGUCCAGGGCUACACACGUGUUACAAUGCGCGUCACAAACCGUUGCGAACCCGCGAGGGGGAGCUAAUCGGAAAAAAACGCGCUCAGUUCGGAUUGUAGUCUGCAACUCGACUACAUGAAGCCGGAAUCGCUAGUAAUGGCGUAUCAGAUCGACGCCGUGAAUACGUUCCCGGGCCUUGUACACACCGCCCGU